UUGUGUUAGUAGCAUGCGAUCAAUUAUAGGUGCAAACAACUCUACAUCAUGCAGCUGUACUGGUAAUAUGUUGCUGAAGUUUGAGGUACUGAUUCCUUCGCCGCGUUAAUGCCGAUUGAGUAUGUUUUACUGGAAAAUUUGUUCAUUCGAAGGCAUACGAAGUCGAAUGAUUGAGAUUAUUUCCAAAAAGGAGCUUCUGCCCAGAUAUUUUAUUAGGUCAAGUGGAUGUGCAAUGGAAAAGUUGAAGCCACUGUUUUGGAUCAUCCGCCAUUGUAGUAAAUGCCAUAACCAGCAAGUUUCGUCAAAAAUAAAUGGAUAAAAAUGCU